rnacentral:rRNA from 1 species
CCUACGGGAGGCAGCAGUGGGGAAUAUUGCACAAUGGGGGAAACCCUGAUGCAGCGACGCCGCGUGAGUGAAGGAGUAUUUCGGUAUGUAAAGCUCUAUCGGCAGGGAAGAAAAUGACGGUACCUGACCAAGAAGCCCCGGCUAACUACGUGCCAGCAGCCGCGGUAAUACGUAGGGGGCAAGCGUUAUCCGGAUUUACUGGGUGUAAAGGGAGCGCAGACGGCAGCGCAAGCCUGGAGUGAAAGGCCGGGGCUGAACCCCGGGACUGCUUUGGAAACUGCAUGGCUGGAGUGCAGGAGGGGUAGGUGGAAUUCCUAGUGUAGCGGUGAAAUGCGUAGAUAUUAGGAGGAACACCAGUGGCGAAGGCGGCCUGCUGGACUGUGACUGACGUUGAGGCCCGAAGGCGUGGGGAGCAAACAGGAUUAGAUACCCGGGUAGUC